rnacentral:rRNA from 1 species
GACGAACGCUGGCGGCGUGCUUAACACAUGCAAGUCGAGCGGUAAGGCCCUUUCGGGGGUACACGAGCGGCGAACGGGUGAGUAACACGUGGGUGACCUGCCCUCAGCUCUGGGAUAAGCCUGGGAAACCGGGUCUAAUACCGGAUAUGACUCCAUGACGCAUGUUGUGGGGUGGAAAGCCUUGUGCGGCUGAGGAUGGGCCCGCGGCCUAUCAGCUUGUUGGUGGGGUGAUGGCCUACCAAGGCGACGACGGGUAGCCGGCCUGAGAGGGCGACCGGCCACACUGGGACUGAGACACGGCCCAGACUCCUACGGGAGGCAGCAGGUGGGGAAUCUUGCGCAAUGGGACGAAAGCCUGACGCAGCGACGCCGCGUGAGGGAUGACG